GGGAGGACAUUAACCUGUCAGAUCUGAAGGCAGGAGAAGGUGCAACCGGUCAAGCUGAAAAGGCCUAUUUUUGUGAACCUUUGAAAUACAAGUUAGGAAAACAACUGGGCAUACACAGAUUUUUAUAUAUGCCCACCUCCCCAUGGGCACUCUUAGGUAGAGAUUUAUUAGAGCAGUUAGGA